rnacentral:tRNA from 1 species
GCCUGAGUAGCUCAGUCGGCAGAGCAACCGCCUUGUAAGUGGUCGGUCGGGGGUUCGAUUCCCCCCUCAGGCU